UACGUAGGGUGCGAGCGUUAAUCGGAAUUACUGGGCGUAAAACGUGCGCAGGCGGUUUUGUAAGGCAGAUGUGAAAUCCCCGGGCUUAACCUGGGAAUGGCAUUUGGGACUGCAAGGCUCGAGUGCGGCAGAGGAGACUGGAAUUCCUGGUGUAGCAGUGAAAUGCGUAGAUAUCAGGAGGAACACCGAUGGCGAAGGCAGGUCUCUGGGCUGACACUGACGCUCAUGCACGAAAGCGUGGGGAGCAAACAGG
rnacentral:rRNA from 1 species